rnacentral:rRNA from 1 species
GACGAACGCUGGCGGCGUGCUUAACACAUGCAAGUCGAACGAUGAAGCUAGAGCUUGCUCUGGUGAAUUAGUGGCGAACGGGUGAGUAACACGUGAGUAACCUGCCCCGAACUCUGGGAUAACUGCUGGAAACGGUAGCUAAUACUGGAUACGACCUACGAAGGCAUCUUCUGUAGGUGGAAAGAAUUUCGGUUCGGGAUGGACUCGCGGCCUAUCAGCUUGUUGUUGAGGUAAUGGCUCACCAAGGCGACGACGGGUAGCCGGCCUGAGAGGGUGACCGGCCUCACUGGGACUGAGACACGGCCCAGACGCCUACGGGAGGCAGCAGUGGGGAAUUUUGGACAAUGGGGGCAACCCUGAUCCAGCAAUGCCGCGUGAGUGAAGAAGGCCUUCGGGUUGUAAAGCUCUUUUGUCAGGGAAGAAACAGCAGCUCUAACACAGUAUGCGAAUGACGGUACCUGAAGAAUAAGCACCGGCUAAC